GACGAACGCUGGCGGCGUGCUUAACACAUGCAAGUCGAACGAAAAGAGGGAAAGAGCUUGCUCUUUCCGGAAUUGAGUGGCAAACGGGUGAGUAACACGUAAACAACCUGCCUUCAGGAUGGGGACAACAGACGGAAACGACUGCUAAUACCGAAUAAGUUCCAAGAGCCGCAUGGCCCAUGGAAGAAAAGGUGGCCUCUACCUGUAAGCUAUCGCCUGAAGAGGGGUUUGCGUCUGAUUAGCUGGUUGGAGGGGUAACGGCCCACCAAGGCGACGAUCAGUAGCCGGUCUGGGAGGAGGAACGGCCACACUGGAACUGGGACACGGUCCAGACUCCUACGGGAGGCAGCCGUGGGGAAUCUUCCGCAAUGGGCGAAAGCCUGACGGAGCAACGCCGCGUGAGUGAUGACGGCCUUCGGGUUGUAAAACUCUGUGAUCCGGGACGAAAAGGCAGAGUGCGAAGAACAAACUGCAUUGACGGUACCGGAAAAGCAAGCCACGGCUAACUACGUG
rnacentral:rRNA from 1 species